rnacentral:snoRNA from 1 species
GCACCUAAAUCUUUCCCAUUUCUUGCGGUGCAGUGCAGGCCUGGGGACAAGCUGGUGCUAUAACACAGCAGAGGAAAUCCAGACAGGUUGCUUUGCACUUUAAUUGGGACUUGUCUCUACAACUCUGCAACACCU